CUUACCACCUCACUGGGUGACGUCACUGGCCAGAAAAUGUAAAGUUGAAUUACUUAAAACCCUUCACAGCACAAACCAUAAUGUUUACGGCACAAAGUAAGUAUUUUAAAUAAUAUUGGGGUGACAGGGCGGCCCAGCUUCACACAGGUUUCCUACCCCUGUUUUCCACCGGGCGUGCAGCGACCCCCGCAGAGCUACUGCAGCCAUUCAAGUCCAUGUUUGACAAUCCAGUCCCUCCAGAAAAAUGCUGAGUUAUUUUGUGAUUGUUGAGGGCAAAACUCCUUGAUUGUGCGGCACGUUUUCUUAAAAAAUGUGAUGGAAUAUGCGGGAUAUUCACGCGAUUUUAUGCAAUGAAAUUGUGGGAACUGGCGAAAAUUGGGGGAACUUGCAAAAAU